AGAAGAGCUCAGGACUCAAACACAAACUACAACCAGACUGGAGGUGAUGAGUCCAGCUCUGCUGACCGUGGAAGUCAUAACUUGUAUGAUUCAGUGAGACCCGCUGCAGAUCCUGGAAAUGAUGCAGAUGAUGCCCAAAGUGUCAUCUACUCUCUGAUUGAAUUUAAAAACUCUGGACACAGAAGAAGACGACCUGAACCAGAGGGGGGCGCUGUUUACUCUGAGGUUAACAGAACCUUUCCAGGGGAGCCGAGUUCUGCAGCAGCCGACGUCAUUUAUUCUGAAGUAGGAAGAAAUCUGCAUGAUGAUACCGCCAUGUAGACCUCAGCUUUUACUACAAAAAAGAUACCAAAACUAUAAUCCUACCUACUGAAAUUAGACGUUGUACAUCAGUUUUGCAACAAUCUGAUCAACUACUUUUCUAUCAUGUUCCAUAGUUUUUGCAAUUGCCCAAAAUUUUCCAUUUGUAGAUGUAAAACAUUCAUUGUUCUUUUUAGGUUUCAUGCUGCUCAGUGAUGAAUGUGUCCAUUAUCUUUUGGGUUACAGAGGUGCGUAAAAUGAAAUUCACAUCACUUCCUGAUUUAAAAAAUGAA